rnacentral:tRNA from 1 species
CCGGAAUAGCUCAGUUGGUAGAGCAGAGGACUGAAAAUCCUCGUGUCACA